rnacentral:tRNA from 1 species
GGAGAGGUAGCUCAGCAGUUAAGAGCACUGACUACUAUUCCAAAGGACCCAGGUUCAAUUCCUGGCAUCCACG